AACAGUCUCCUCACUCCUCCCACACAGAGUCUCGGCCUUUCCUCCCGCGUGGACGGCGCCUCUCCCCCGCCAUCCUUUCCCUGGCUGAUGCUGCAUCUGCAACGCUCAGCUUCUCCCUGGAACCUGCUCCCACAGCAUGUGGCCCGGCCCUGUGCCUGCCCUGAGCCCUGGUUGUAGAGCUGACAUUUGACUCUGGCUGCCUUGAGGGCAGGGACCGUGGCUUAACCAGCCACUCUGGGCUUCACUUUCCUCAUUUGUCAAGUGGAUCUGCCCCAAAGUUUGCUUUGAGGAAACGGGCCUCCCUCUUUCCAUUUCCAGCUUUUAGAGCUGCUUCUGCCUUCCUUGGCUCCUGGCUUUCUCACAUCUUCAGAUUCCAAAGCGCAUCACUCCAGUCUGCUCGUGUCACCACAAGCUUUCUUCCCUUCUCCAGUCAGUCAAAUCCGUCUUCUAAGGAUACUGCUGAUCAUCUUUAGGGCUCACGCCUGUAGUCCUGGCACUUUGAGAGGACAAAGAGGGAGGAUCGCUUGAGCCCAGGAGUUGAAGACCAGGGCAACAGAGUGAGAUCCCAUUUCCACAAAAAAUAAAAAAGAUUAUCCACGCA
rnacentral:lncRNA from 1 species